AUUACUUCUAUUUUGUUUUCUACGUGACUAGCAACGCACAAAAGUUUCUGUGCGACAAAUAUGAAAUUUUGUCACAGGACUUUUGAGCGUUGCUAGUUGAAAGAAGAU
rnacentral:pre_miRNA from 14 species